GAUUAAGUUAUUAAGGGCGCACGGUGGAUGCCUUGGCACUAGAAGCCGAUGAAGGACGUUACUAACGACGAUAUGCUUUGGGGAGCUGUAAGUAAGCUUUGAUCCAGAGAUUUCCGAAUGGGGAAACCCAGCAUGAGUUAUGUCAUGUUAUCGAUAUGUGAAUACAUAGCAUAUCAGAAGGCACACCCGGAGAACUGAAACAUCUUAGUACCCGGAGGAAGAGAAAGAAAAUUCGAUUCCCUUAGUAGCGGCGAGCGAAACGGGAAGAGCCCAAACCAACAAGCUUGCUUGUUGGGGUUGUAGGACACUCUAUACGGAGUUACAAAGGACGACAUUAGACGAAUCAUCUGGAAAGAUGAAUCAAAGAAGGUAAUAAUCCUGUAGUCGAAAAUGUUGUCUCUCUUGAGUGGAUCCUGAGUACGACGGAGCACGUGAAAUUCCGUCGGAAUCUGGGAGGACCAUCUCCUAAGGCUAAAUACUCUCUAGUGACCGAUAGUGAACCAGUACCGUGAGGGAAAGGUGAAAAGCACCCCGGAAGGGGAGUGAAAUAGAACCUGAAACCGUGUGCUUACAAGUAGUCAGAGCCCGUUAAUGGGUGAUGGCGUGCCUUUUGUAGAAUGAACCGGCGAGUUACGAUUUGAUGCAAGGUUAAGCAGUAAAUGUGGAGCCGUAGCGAAAGCGAGUCUGAAUAGGGCGUUUAGUAUUUGGUCGUAGACCCGAAACCAGGUGAUCUACCCUUGGUCAGGUUGAAGUUCAGGUAACACUGAAUGGAGGACCGAACCGACUUACGUUGAAAAGUGAGCGGAUGAACUGAGGGUAGCGGAGAAAUUCCAAUCGAACCUGGAGAUAGCUGGUUCUCUCCGAAAUAGCUUUAGGGCUAGCCUCAAGUGAUGAUUAUUGGAGGUAGAGCACUGUUUGGACGAGGGGCCCCUCUGGGUUACCGAAUUCAGACAAACUCCGAAUGCCAAUUAAUUUAACUUGGGAGUCAGAACAUGGGUGAUAAGGUCCGUGUUCGAAAGGGAAACAGCCCAGACCACCAGCUAAGGUCCCAAAAUAUAUGUUAAGUGGAAAAGGAUGUGGCGUUGCCCAGACAACUAGGAUGUUGGCUUAGAAGCAGCCAUCAUUUAAAGAGUGCGUAAUAGCUCACUAGUCGAGUGACACUGCGCCGAAAAUGUACCGGGGCUAAACAUAUUACCGAAGCUGUGGAUUGUCCUUUGGACAAUGGUAGGAGAGCGUUCUAAGGGCGUUGAAGCAUGAUCGUAAGGACAUGUGGAGCGCUUAGAAGUGAGAAUGCCGGUGUGAGUAGCGAAAGACGGGUGAGAAUCCCGUCCACCGAUUGACUAAGGUUUCCAGAGGAAGGCUCGUCCGCUCUGGGUUAGUCGGGUCCUAAGCUGAGGCCGACAGGCGUAGGCGAUGGAUAACAGGUUGAUAUUCCUGUACCACCUAUAAUCGUUUUAAUCGAUGGGGGGACGCAGUAGGAUAGGCGAAGCGUGCGAUUGGAUUGCACGUCUAAGCAGUAAGGCUGAGUAUUAGGCAAAUCCGGUACUCGUUAAGGCUGAGCUGUGAUGGGGAGAAGACAUUGUGUCUUCGAGUCGUUGAUUUCACACUGCCGAGAAAAGCCUCUAGAUAGAAAAUAGGUGCCCGUACCGCAAACCGACACAGGUAGUCAAGAUGAGAAUUCUAAGGUGAGCGAGCGAACUCUCGUUAAGGAACUCGGCAAAAUGACCCCGUAACUUCGGGAGAAGGGGUGCUCUUUAGGGUUAACGCCCAGAAGAGCCGCAGUGAAUAGGCCCAAGCGACUGUUUAUCAAAAACACAGGUCUCUGCUAAACCGUAAGGUGAUGUAUAGGGGCUGACGCCUGCCCGGUGCUGGAAGGUUAAGAGGAGUGGUUAGCUUCUGCGAAGCUACGAAUCGAAGCCCCAGUAAACGGCGGCCGUAACUAUAACGGUCCUAAGGUAGCGAAAUUCCUUGUCGGGUAAGUUCCGACCCGCACGAAAGGCGUAACGAUUUGGGCACUGUCUCAACGAGAGACUCGGUGAAAUCAUAGUACCUGUGAAGAUGCAGGUUACCCGCGACAGGACGGAAAGACCCCGUGGAGCUUUACUGUAGCCUGAUAUUGAAAUUCGGCACAGCUUGUACAGGAUAGGUAGGAGCCUUUGAAACGUGAGCGCUAGCUUACGUGGAGGCGCUGGUGGGAUACUACCCUAGCUGUGUUGGCUUUCUAACCCGCACCACUUAUCGUGGUGGGAGACAGUGUCAGGCGGGCAGUUUGACUGGGGCGGUCGCCUCCUAAAAGGUAACGGAGGCGCUCAAAGGUUCCCUCAGAAUGGUUGGAAAUCAUUCAUAGAGUGUAAAGGCAUAAGGGAGCUUGACUGCGAGACCUACAAGUCGAGCAGGGUCGAAAGACGGACUUAGUGAUCCGGUGGUUCCGCAUGGAAGGGCCAUCGCUCAACGGAUAAAAGCUACCCCGGGGAUAACAGGCUUAUCUCCCCCAAGAGUUCACAUCGACGGGGAGGUUUGGCACCUCGAUGUCGGCUCAUCGCAUCCUGGGGCUGUAGUCGGUCCCAAGGGUUGGGCUGUUCGCCCAUUAAAGCGGUACGCGAGCUGGGUUCAGAACGUCGUGAGACAGUUCGGUCCCUAUCCGUCGUGGGCGUAGGAAAUUUGAGAGGAGCUGUCCUUAGUACGAGAGGACCGGGAUGGACAUACCUCUGGUGUACCAGUUGUCGUGCCAACGGCAUAGCUGGGUAGCUAUGUGUGGACGGGAUAAGUGCUGAAAGCAUCUAAGCAUGAAGCCCCCCUCAAGAUGAGAUUUCCCAACUUCGGUUAUAAGAUCCCUCAAAGAUGAUGAGGUUAAUAGGUUCGAGGUGGAAGCAUGGUGACAUGUGGAGCUGACGAAUACUAAUCGAUCGAAGACUUAAUCAA
rnacentral:rRNA from 1 species